rnacentral:rRNA from 1 species
AACGAACGCUGGCGGCAUGCCUAACACAUGCAAGUCGAACGAAGUCUUCGGACUUAGUGGCGCACGGGUGCGUAACGCGUGGGAAUCUGCCCUUGGGUGCGGAAUAACUUCUCGAAAGGGAUGCUAAUACCGCAUAAUGUCGUAAGACCAAAGAUUUAUCGCCCAAGGAUGAGCCCGCGUAAGAUUAGCUAGUUGGUGGGGUAAAAGCCUACCAAGGCGACGAUCUUUAGCUGGUCUGAGAGGAUGAUCAGCCACACUGGGACUGAGACACGGCCCAGACUCCUACGGGAGGCAGCAGUGGGGAAUAUUGGACAAUGGGCGAAAGCCUGAUCCAGCAAUGCCGCGUGAGUGAUGAAGGCCCUAGGGUUGUAAAGCUCUUUUAGUAGGGAAGAAGCGAAAGUGACGGUACCUGCAGAAAAAGCACCGGCUAACUACGUGCCAGCAGCCGCGUAAU